CGCUGGCGGCAUGCCUAACACAUGCAAGUCGGACGCUUGUCGGGCUUCGGUCCGGCGGGAGUGGCGCACGGGUGAGUAGCGCGUGGGAACCUGCCCUGUUGUGGGGGAUAACCGAGGGAAACUUCGGCUAAUACCGCAUGCGCCCGCGGAGUUGAUCCGCGGGGAAAGAUUUAUCGCAGCAGGAGGGGCCCGCGUCGGAUUAGCUGGUUGGCGGGGUAACGGCCCACCAAGGCGAUGAUCCGUAGCUGGUCUGAGAGGAUGAUCAGCCACACUGGGACUGAGACACGGCCCAGACUCCUACGGGAGGCAGCAGUGGGGAAUAUUGGACAAUGGGCGCAAGCCUGAUCCAGCAAUGCCGCGUGAGUGAUGAAGGCCUUCGGGUUGUAAAGCUCUUUCGCCCGCGACGAUGAUGACGGUAGCGGGAGAAGAAGCCCCGGCUAACUUCGUGCCAGCAGCCGCGGUAAUACGAAGGGGGCGAGCGUUGUUCGGAAUCACUGGGCGUAAAGGGCGCGUUACGCGGCCUCCUUGUCGCGUGUGAAAGCCCCGGGCUCAACCUG
rnacentral:rRNA from 1 species